UUUGCGGAUCUCUUUUUCUGUUUCUUAUCUUCCUCCUAAACUCCCUUCUGAAAAUCUCAGAGAUCCAAUCUCAACUCUUAAAAAUCAAAGACUAAUCCAAACCCCAUCUCAAUAUCAAACCCAUGUAUCAGAUCUAAAAGAAAAACCCUCUUUUAUAACCCUGGAUUUAACCAAAAACAUUAUCUCAUUUCAGCUAACUUGUUUUCUGUAUGAGAGGGAGAUUGAUAGCCUUCAUAUCCAUACAAUUCUCAUCACCAAAUCACGCCUGAUUUCGAAAUCUAAUCCUAACCGCAUCUUUGAAUCAAAACCCAUCUCAUAAUCAGAAUUUUAUAUGCCCUAAUUUUGUAACCAUAGAUUUAGUUAAUUUUGUCCUGAAAUCAAAGCAACCCUAUAGAGCUGAGAGUACAAGAAGAACAUUGCACCAGGUGUUGGUGGUGUGGCUUGUGCUACAGAUUUCAAUGGAGAUUUGGGUCAUAUGCUGGAGUUAAGAAUCAGUCGAGAGAAGUUGUUGAAGACAUGGAUUCCGUUAGGUAUUUGGGGUGAAUCAGUAGCUCGAGAUUGCGUAGUGGUUGUAACUCGAGAUUGCAGAUUGAACUAGAGAAUUUUAUGGUGCUGCCGGUGGUUAAAUGAGGACCUGAUGUGAAUACAUAUGAAUGUUAAAUGGUUUCUGAAUUAUGGGUUUACUGUGAAUUGAAUUUGCAGGUGUUUGGGUGAGUUUAAAAGCUAUAGAAAUUAAAUGCUACAACAAGAUGAGAAUGUCACAUUGGUUGUUCGAUAAAAGGCCCGAAUCGUCAUCUUCUUGUCACCCAAUAAUCUGUCCGCAAGGGUUGUUGCUGCAAUGGUUUGUGUGGCUGCUUUUUAUAUUCUGGUGUCUGCACUGGAUUGAGCUGAGUCUUAGAAGUUGGUAAGAAGGAAGAGGGUUAUUCGUAGUCGAUACAGAGAAGGACAACUGAGCUGAAAUGGGUUUUUGAAUCUGAAAAGGGCGGUUUGGUUUGAGCUUGUUCUGUGAAGUCAAAUCAACCAAGGAGAGUUGAUGUGUGAUGCUAUCCGUAGUGGAGCUGUGAUUCAAACUUGUGGCAGUCCGGUGGAGUUUACUAAAACUCAGUUGAGAAGAGAGUAAUUUAGACAAAGACAAUGAGGUUUAUGUCAUUGCUAUCAUGGGUGUGUAAAUGGCAGCAAAGUUACUGGAAUUUGCGGGAGUUUUGGUUGAGUUUUGAUAUUGUGUUGCUUCCAUGAGAUGGUGGAUUGUUUGCCAUGUCGCAGGUGGUCUGUUUUACGGAGUUUGGAGCUGGUUUUGAAGGCAAGGAGGGAAAAUAAGUUAACCUUGGCUGGAAUCUGGAGUUGCUAGGAGGUCCGUAAGCUGAGCACUAACCAAGUGUUGCCGUAACUGAAGUAGUAUGCUUUAGUCUGUGCAUCUAUUAGCCAUGGUCCUGUGAGCAUUGAAUGAUGUGUGUUUUGUGUAAAGUAGGACGUGAUUUAGAAGGAUACAGUAUAUGGAGAAAAAUCUUCCAGGAAGGGAAAUAUAAAGAAGCUGAACGGUCAACUAUUUGUGGAUAAGUUUAUCCAGAAAACACAAUAGUUUUUUGGACUACAUUUCUAGCGGAUUCGAGCAGUUACAUGUCCUUAUCUUUUUCUUGUGAACUUAAAUCUUCCAGACUCUUUAUAUGGAAGGUCUUGUUAGAUUGUGGAGUUGUUCAAGCAGAUGCAUUAUCAGUGGAUCCUAUGGCUUCGCUAGAGAAGUAUUCACAGACUGUAGUCUUGCCUCGGGCUUCUAUUUUGGCAACAAGUAGAGUGGAUUACCUAAAUCAAUGCUGAUUCAGUGAGUCCUUAUUUAUUUUGUUUCAAAAUACUAGCAAUGUUGAAUUUGACAUCUGCUCCUUGUUGCAUAACAACAUGAAUCUUUCUAUAUUGCAUACCACCUUCUUGAAUAUGAAUUUACAUUCCUAUGUUGCUUGAAUAUGAGUUCUUUGGUGUUUUUUGGAAAUAUGUGUCGGAUGUUGUUCCUAUUGCAUGUCAGGCAGCUGCAGAUGUUGGAAUUCGCUCUGCUUGUAUCACCAAUUUCAGGUAUGCACAGUACUCGAUCAACAGCAGAAUGAAGCUUAAAUUCUUUAGGCGCAACUAAGGCUUAAAGCUCAACUCAGUAUAUUUGAUCUUUGUGUCCUGUAGAAUUAUGCAUGAAGUAUUUACCUUAGAAUCAUUAUGCCAUCCACGCGUAUAAGUAUAAAGAUCACAUUUUUCAUGAACAUUGUUCUCAUGCUUUAUGUAAUGCCUUACUUUCUUGUGUUAUCAGUUCGACGAGGAAGCGGUCUCCCCUUUGUCAAGAAAUACAGUAACAGUUAUUCAUCUCGGAGAGGUCAACAGGAUCAGGAAGCUGCCACAGGACAUGAAGAUUGUUGCUACACAUACCGACAAUCCCGGUGUAAGAAACUAAGCAUUUCUAAGUUAAUUUAGCCUUCUUCUUCGGGUAUAUUGGGUUGUUCUCUUUUCAUUUCACCGACAAUGUAGCUAGUGCAAGUUUUUGUAGUACUUUUUUUAAUAGGAAUAUUUUA